AGUGGCUCAGUGGGUAGAGUGCUUGCCUGGCAUGCACGAGGCACUGGGUUCGAUCCUCAGCACUA
rnacentral:tRNA from 1 species